GUUGAACGCUGGCGGCAGGCCUAACUCAUGCAAGUCGAGCGGAUGAAGGGAGCUUGCUCCUGGAUUCAGCGGCGGACGGGUGAGUAAUGCCUAGGAAUCUGCCUGGUAGUGGGGGAUAACGUCCGGAAACGGGCGCUAAUACCGCAUACGUCCUGAGGGAGAAAGUGGGGGAUCUUCGGACCUCACGCUAUCAGAUGAGCCUAGGUCGGAUUAGCUAGUUGGUGGGGUAAAGGCCUACCAAGGCGACGAUCCGUAACUGGUCUGAGAGGAUGAUCAGUCACACUGGAACUGAGACACGGUCCAGACUCCUACGGGAGGCAGCAGUGGGGAAUAUUGGACAAUGGGCGAAAGCCUGAUCCAGCCAUGCCGCGUGUGUGAAGAAGGUCUUCGGAUUGUAAAGCACUUUAAGUUGGGAGGAAGGGCAGUAAGUUAAUACCUUGCUGUUUUGACGUUACCAACAGAAUAAGCACCGGCUAACUUCGUG
rnacentral:rRNA from 1 species